rnacentral:rRNA from 2 species
CGCAUUAAGUGUACCGCCUGGGGAGUACGGUCGCAAGAUUAAAACUCAAAGGAAUAGACGGGGACCCGCACAAGCGGUGGAGCAUGUGGUUUAAUUCGAAGAUACGCGAAGAACCUUACCUGGGCUUGAUAUCCUAAGAACCUUUUAGAGAUAAGAGGGUGCUAGCUUGCUAGAACUUAGAGACAGGUGCUGCACGGCUGUCGUCAGCUCGUGUCGUGAGAUGUUGGGUUAAGUCCCGCAACGAGCGCAACCCACGUAUUUAGUUGCUAACGGUUCGGCCGAGCACUCUAAAUAGACUGCCUUCGUAAGGAGGAGGAAGGUGUGGACGACGUCAAGUCAUCAUGGCCCUUAUGCCCAGGGCGACACACGUGCUACAAUGGCAUAUACAAUGAGACGCAAUACCGCGAGGUGGAGCAAAUCUAUAAAAUAUGUCCCAGUUCGGAUUGUUCUCUGCAACUCGAGAGCAUGAAGCCGGAAUCGCUAGUAAUCGUAGAUCAGCCAUGCUACGGUGAAUACGUUCCCGGGUCUUGUACUCACCGCCCGUCACACCAUGGGAGUUGAUUUCACUCGAAGCCGGAAUACUAAACUAGUUACCGUCCACAGUGGAAUCAGCGACUGGGGUGAAGUCGUAACAAGGUAACCGUAGGAGAACCUGCGGUUGGAUCACCUCCUUUCUA